UCCUGUGUAGCUCAGUCGUAGAGCACUUGCCUUGCAUGCAGGAGGACCUGGGUUCAAUCCCUAGAAUCAGAU
rnacentral:tRNA from 1 species